rnacentral:rRNA from 1 species
UACGAAGGGGGCUAGCGUUGCUCGGAAUUACUGGGCGUAAAGCGCACGUAGGCGGCUUUCUAAGUCGGAGGUGAAAUCCUGGAGCUCAACUCCAGAACUGCCUUCGAUACUGGAGAGCUCGAGUCCGGGAGAGGUGAGUGGAACUGCGAGUGUAGAGGUGAAAUUCGUAGAUAUUCGCAAGAACACCAGUGGCGAAGGCGGCUCACUGGCCCGGUACUGACGCUGAGGUGCGAAAGCGUGGGGAGCGAACGGG